AAUGGCGCAUACAAAGAGAAGCGACCUCGCGAGAGCAAGCGGACCUCAUAAAGUGCGUCGUAGUCCGGAUUGGAGUCUGCAACUCGACUCCAUGAAGUCGGAAUCGCUAGUAAUCGUGGAUCAGAAUGCCACGGUGAAUACGUUCCCGGGCCUUGUACACACCGCCCGUCACACCAUGGGAGUGGGUUGCAAAAGAAGUAGGUAGCUUAACCUUCGGGAGGGCGCUUACCACUUUGUGAUUCAUGACUGGGGUGAAGUCGUAACAAGGUAACCGUAGGGGAACCUGCGGUUGGAUCAC
rnacentral:rRNA from 1 species